rnacentral:rRNA from 1 species
UAGUCCACGCCGUAAACGAUGACAACUAGCCGUUGGGCUCCUUGAGGGCUUAGUGGCGCAGCUAACGCGAUAAGUUGUCCGCCUGGGGAGUACGGCCGCAAGGUUAAAACUCAAAUGAAUUGACGGGGGCCCGCACAAGCGGUGGAGCAUGUUGUUUAAUUCGAUGCAACGCGAAGAACCUUACCACCCCUUGACAUCCUGCGAACUUUCUAGAGAUAGAUUGGUGCCUUCGGGAACGCAGUGACAGGUGCUGCAUGGCUGUCGUCAGCUCGUGUCGUGAGAUGUUGGGUUAAGUCCCGUAACGAGCGCAACCCUUGCCCUUAUUUGCCAGCGGAUUAUGCCGGGAACUCUAAGGGGACUGACGGUGACAAACCGUAGGAAGGUGGGGACGACGUCAAGUCAUCAUGGCCCUUACGGGGUGGGCUACAAACGUGCUACAAUGGAGGGUACAAAGGGCAGCGAGCUCGCGAGGGGGAGCGAAAUCUCUAAAAGUGCAUCUCAGUCCGGAUUGAAGU